GAAGCAAUAUGCAGCUGACUGAAGUUGACUGUGGCUAAAAAGGAGUGCUGUAAAGAUGACUACAUUAAAUCAAGAGAUUGCUAGUCCCAAUUAGUGCAGCUGCCAUUUCAGAACUUUCACUGAUAUAAAGAGAUGCCAGAACUCAAAGGUAUUUCAAAAUAUUCUAAAACAAGAUUUUUCAAAAACUUCAAGAGAGCUAUGUUUCUCCAACCAUUUCAAAAUUACCUCUUGGUAAUAUAACAGAUUAAAAAUGCUAAAUUACAAUAGAUAUCAUGGAACUAACAAGCUAACUAAUCAACCAAAGCCAGACAAAAACCUGUUUUCUGUUGCAUUCUCCUAUCUGUAUUUUGUCUACAUGAAAGUUCUUUGGGGCAGAGAUCUAUCUUGCUAUAUAUCCAAAGUUUUAGAAUGGUUUUGGGUGACUGAUAACUCAAAGAAUAAAAAUCUAAUAAUUCAGUCUCAAAAACGAGACGUCAGUAGCUCUAGAAUGUGAUGCAUUUUUCCUUAAGCACUCCACACUAUCUCAGAUUUUAAAACAAAACUUCCCAACUGUUUGGACUAUUUGCAGAACCUUCAGUUUUGGCAUUACACAUAAAUGCUGCUAGUAGUUGGUGGUAGACCAAAAAAAACACCCACAACACCACAUCUAGAUCCUCAGCUACCAGUCAAAUCCUCUAAAAGUGGAUGCAACUUUGGUUGCGUCUCUCAGAACCUGUCUAAAUCCUGAACUGUUGUUAUUUAGUGGCUUGAGAUAGAGGGCAUGAGACUAUAAAGCAUCACACACAAGUACUCAAACUUAAGCUGAAUGGAGAUACUUUUCGCCAUAUAAACGAGCUAAAUCAGAAGUUGCCCAAGAGCUUCUCUAAAAGGGAGCAAUCUGAGAUUGGAUACAUUUAUGGUACUGUGAGAAUCUUUCAUGGAAGAGUCACUGUCAUUUCCCUGCAGACCAGAUACACCUAGUGCAUGGGCAGGUUACAUAAAUGAUCCUGAAUUUUCUGCUGGAAAAGUAAAAACUUAAGUAGCAUUCCUACUUCUGAAAUCAAUCCACACAGCUCAUAUGAUUUUUGCCAUCUCUCCAGCUCCAAGAAUCUUCUCCAAAUCCUUGAAGAACAAACACUAACACUUCACUCUAUACACUGAAGUCACAGAGUUGAUGGCAACACACCACCACUCUGUAAGCAAUUUUUCUGUGUAGUGGUACAUUAUUCAACAUUUGGUCUUGUAGUUAGAACCAUACAUAAUAUUUGCCUCCAAAAGCAGCUUUCAGCAACACCGGAUGACUCAAUUUGUCAUUCUUAUAUUGUUGUUCAAAGUCUUAAUUCUAUACUUAAUUCAAAAGCACCGAUAUAACACUCCCUAUUUCAAGCAGUAAUCACAUACCCAUCUCCGAGUUCUCUAUAUUUCUGUUCACUGAUGCCUGAUGAAUCUUACAUGCUAAAAAGAGAAGAGUGCAUCUUCUCUCACAACUAGAGAAUAAAAUAUUCUGACAAGGUUUUACUACCCAAAUUGAUUUUUCACAAAGUGAGAAAUAUGAGGAAUACGAACAUUCAAUUUUAGAAACCAAAGGCAACACAGGCAAUAUUUCAAAGGUAACAUGGGCAUUUUUAAACAUUUCUUCAAGAUAAAGAUAGCAUACAAAAAUGUAUGUGAUAAAAAGACCGGUAGGAAAGUUACAUUUGAGGGAACUUGGAACAGGACAGAAAAUCUUAAAGAAAAAAAAAACUGAAAAUUUGGAAAAAAGAAUUUCAUUUCCAUUGCCUUAUUGCGUCUUAACCUGAACAUUACUCUCAAUUUAACGAGAGGCUUCAACAUCAGAACAACUUUUCAAAAGAACGUCUGUAAGUGAAGCAGAGUGGUCUCCCACGGACCUAGAGAACGGUGGGGGAGGACCACCACCAACCUGCUAUGAUGUUUAACAGUAUUAAGAAACCCAAAUGAUUGAACAAGUCAUUUUCUGUAUUCUUUUUUCUAUUUAUUGAAAAAAAUGUGUUUGACUACACCUUCCAGGCAACAUGGUUCUCCGGUGAUCAUUUACCAACAGUCUGUUGCUAUGUAAAAAUAAGUGAAAUCACAAAUUCACCAUUAUAAUUUCCCUGAAGCUUGAAAUAUAGAAACAGAUAGUCUUCCCGUUUGCAGACCGUCUCAAACGUCUCAUAAAAAUUAGUAAAAUGUGAGAACACAUGAAAAAGAAAUAGACAUGGAAAAUUCCAUUCUCAAGUCCAAGUUCUCUCUGUUAAACUUGGAGACACUAUACACCCUCAGCACAUUUAACAAUUCAAUAAA